rnacentral:rRNA from 1 species
AUUGAACGCUGGCGGCAUGGCUAACACAUGCAAGUCGAACGAUGAAAGCCCCUUCGGGGGUGUAUGAAGUGGCGUAAGGACUAGUAAUGCGUUCCUACGUACCCUCAGGUUGAGGAUAGCCCCGGGAAACUGGGUGUAAUACUCGAUAAUGUCUACGGACCAAAGCCUUCGGGCGCCUUAGGAGCAAGGAACGUCCUAUCAGGUUGUUGGUGGGGUAAUGGCCUACCAAGCCUUAGACGGGUAGCGGGUGUGAGAGCAUGAUCCGCCGCAUCGGGACUGAGACACUGCCCGGACUCCUACGGGAGGCUGCAGUAACGAAUCUUCCGCAAUGCGCGAAAGCGUGACGGAGCAAUGCCGCGUGCAGGAUGAAGCCCUUCGGGGUGUAAACUGCUGUCAGAGUUUAGGAACACAAUGACCAGACUCAAAGGAAGGGCCGGCUAACUUCGUGCCAGCAGCCGCGGUAAUACGAAGGGCCCGAGCGUUAAUCGGAAUCACUGGGCUUAAAGCGUACGUAGGCGGACAUGUAGGUACUUUGUGAAAUCCCACCGCUCAACGGUGGAACUGCUGGGUAUACCGCAUGUCUUGAGACAGGUAGGGGUCGUCGGAACGAUAGGUGGAGUGGUGAAAUGCGUUGAUAUCUAUCGGAACGCCGAAGGAGAAGUCAGGCGACUGGGCCUGUUCUGACGCUGAGGUACGAAAGCGUGGGUAGCGAACGGGAUUAGAUACCCCGGUAGUCCACGCCGUAAACGAUGUGCACUAGGUUGGGGACGUACUGACACGUUUCCUGGCCGAAGCGAAAGUGUUAAGUGCACCGCCUGGGGAGUACGGUCGCAAGGCUAAAACUCAAAGGAAUUGACGGGGGCUCACACAAGCGGUGGAGCAUGUGGCUUAAUUCGAAGCAACGCGAAGAACCUUAUCCUGGGUUUGACAUGUAUGGAUUAACUCCGUGAAAGCGGAGCCACGCCUUCGGGUGGAACAUACACAGGUGUUGCAUGGCUGUCGUCAGCUCGUGCUGUGAAGUGUCGGGGUAAGUCCCUUAACGAGCGCAACCCCUAUCGCUAGUUGCCAACGCGUAAUGGCGGGGACUCUAGCGAGACUGCCGGUGUCAAACCGGAGGAAGGUGGGGAUGACGUCAAGUCCGCAUGGCCUUUAAGCCUAGGGCUGCACACGUGCUACAAUGGCAGGUACAGAACGAUGCAAUACCGCGAGGUGGAGCAAAUCGCAAAAACCUGCCCCAGUUCGGAUUGGAGGCUGCAACUCGCCUCCAUGAAGUUGGAAUCGCUAGUAAUCGCGGAUCAGCUACGCCGCGGUGAAUACGUUCCUGAGCCUUGUACACACCGCCCGUCAAGUCAUGGAAGCUGGUAGCGCCCGAAGUCGCCACGAUUCAGUGGUGCCCACGGUGAGGCUGGUGACUGGGACU